rnacentral:rRNA from 1 species
ACUACAUGUACAGGAUAGGUGGGAGGCUUUGAAACCAGGACGACAGUUUUGGCGGAGCCAUCCUUGGGAUACCACCCUUGUAGUACUGGGACUCUAACCAUAGGCCAUGAAUCUGGUCUUGGGACACUGUCAGGUGGGCAGUUUGACUGGGGCGGUCGCCUCCCAACAGGUAACGGAGGCGCUCAAAGGGUCUCUCAGUACGGUCGGGAAUCGUACGUAGAGUGUACAGGCAAACGAGAGCUUGCUUGCAAGACAUACAGGUCGAGCAAGGAUGAAAAUCGGACUUAGUGAUCCGGUGGUUCUGCGUGGAAGGGCCAUCGCUCAACGGAUAAAAG